CCGCGAGCUGCGCACCGCCGGCCGGCUGACCCCUCGGCCCGCGCCCGCGCCCUUGUCCGCCGACCCCGCGGCGGGCUCCAGGCGGCCGACAGCAUGAGCGGCGGCGGCGACGUAGUGUGCACCGGCUGGCUGAGGAAAUCGCCCCCCGAGAAGAAGUUGAGGCGCUAUGCCUGGAAGAAACGCUGGUUUAUCCUGCGGAGUGGGCGGAUGAGCGGUGACCCAGAUGUUCUGGAAUACUACAAGAAUGAUCACUCCAAGAAGCCCCUGCGCAUCAUCAACCUGAACUUCUGCGAGCAGGUGGAUGCAGGCCUGACCUUCAACAAGAAGGAGCUGCAGGAUAGUUUUGUGUUUGACAUCAAGACCAGCGAGCGCACCUUUUACCUGGUGGCCGAGACGGAGGAGGACAUGAAUAAGUGGGUCCAGAGCAUCUGCCAGAUCUGUGGCUUCAAUCAGGCUGAGGAGAGCACAGACUCCCUGAGGAACAUUUCCUCAGCCAGUCACGGCCCCCGCUCUUCUCCAGCUGAGCUCAGCAGCUCCAAUCAGCACCUUCUCCGAGAACGAAAAUCCUCAGCCCCGUCGCACUCCAGCCAGCCAACCUUGUUCACCUUUGAACCCCCGGUGUCGAACCACGUGCAGCCUGCCUUGUCCACCAGUGCACCUCAGGAGUAUCUCUACUUGCACCAGUGCAUAAGCCGGAGAGCAGAAAACGCAAGGAGCGCCAGCUUCUCUCAGGGCACCAGGGCCUCGUUUCUCAUGAGGAGCGACACGGCCGUGCAAAAACUUGCCCAGGGCAACGGACACUGUGUCAACGGGGUCAGUGGUCAAGUCCAUGGCUUCUAUAGCCUCCCCAAGCCAAGCAGGCACAAUACAGAAUUCAGAGACAGUACCUACGACCUCCCCCGGAGCCUGGCCUCCCAUGGCCACACCAAGAGCAGCCUCACAGGCUCUGAGACGGAUAACGAGGACGUGUACACCUUCAAGAUGCCCAGCAACACCCUGUGCCGUGAGUUUGGGGACCUCCUGGUGGAUAAUAUGGAUGUUCCGGCCACCCCGCUCUCAGCCUACCAGAUCCCUAGGACGUUCACACUGGACAAGAACCACAACACCAUGGCAGUCGCCGCUCCUGGGGACUCGGCCAUAGCCCCCCCGCCCCGGCCCCCCAAGCCAAGUCAGGCAGAAACACCUCGAUGGGGCAGCCCUCAGCAGAGGCCUCCAGUCGGUGACAGCAGCAGAUCGGCCUCUGCCGCUGCAACCAUCCCCAGGCGCAAUACCCUCCCAGCCAUGGACAACAGCCGACUUCACCGAGCUUCUUCCUGCGAGUCCUACGACUACCCCCAGCGUGGUGGAGACAAUGCGGGCCGGUCCACCGAGUCCAUGAGUGAUGCAGUCAGCGCUUUUCUGCCAGGGAAAACAGUUGUGGGCCGAUCGGAUAGCACCAAUUCCGAAGACAACUACGUGCCCAUGAAUCCAGGCUCCUCCACCCUGCUGGCUUUGGAGCGAGCAGGUGAUAAUUCCCAGAGUGUCUACAUCCCCAUGAGCCCAGGGCCCCAUCACUUUGACCCGCUUGGCUACCCCACCUCCGCCCUUCCUAUGCACCGAGGCUCCAGCCGAGGGAGUGAGAUCCAGCCACCCCCUGUCAACCGCAACCUCAAACCUGACCGGAAAGCAAAGCCAACACCACUGGACCUGAGAAACAAUACCGUCAUCGAUGAGCUCCCCUUCAAGUCACCCAUCACCAAGUCUUGGUCCAGGGCCAUCCACUCCUUCAACCCGGGGUCCUCCCAGUACUGCCGCCCCAUCUCCACACAGAGCAUCACCAGCACGGACUCGGGGGACAGCGAAGAGAACUACGUCCCUAUGCAAAACCCAGUGUCUGCAUCUCCCAUCCCCAGUGGCACCAACAGUCCGGCCCCUAAGAAGAGCACUGGCAGCGUGGAUUAUCUGGCCCUGGACUUCCAGCCAAGCUCCCCAAGCCCCCACCGCAAGCCAUCCACGUCAUCUGUCACUUCCGACGAGAAGGUAGACUACGUUCAGGUGGACAAGGAGAAGACCCAGGCCCUGCAGAACACCAUGCAGGAGUGGACAGACGUGCGGCAGUCCUCGGAGCCUUCCAAGGGGGCCAAGCUGUGACACGCGGGCCGCCGCCCCAGGGAGGGGCCAGGAGGCGGCGUCUCCAGAGCCGACGCCUCCCCGUCUGUCUCCCCCUUCUCCUCUCCAGCGCGCCCUCCUGCCCACCCCCUCUCUACUCUGCCACUCUAGCCUUCAAAGCACUUGACAUCAGGGACCCUGACCCCUUCCCCUGGGAGGUGAGGGCCUGAUCGAGGCGCUUCCUCGGCUCACUCGGGGCCCACCUUGAUUUUUAUCAGCAAUGGCCAUGCCUCUACCCACCUUAGUUAGAGCUAUUGCCAAAAAGCAUCCUUCAGCCUCCUACCGCCCUUUAGACCCGAAUACCUACCAGACGUGUGGAGGGAGGGGCUGGGGCUCUGAGCCAGAUUCCACACCUCACCUUUGGGCACAGCUCUCAGCCCCUGUCCCUCCCGCUACUGGGCUACCUCUCCCCCAGUCCCGGAAGAAGCCAAGUCGUCUCGCUGACCCAGGGAGCCAAGGACCAGCGGACCAGAGUGGAUACAGACUUCUUCAGCCCUGUCUGUCUUGGCAGGGGGGAGGCAAGGCCACCAAAAGAUGAAGGAGUCGAGGAGGAAGGUGGAGGCAAGAGUAGAGACGGGAGGAAGUACAAGAGAAGAGGAAAUUGGCCUGUUGAAAGCAGAGACUGGCUCAAAAGCCCCAAGUACCAGGAGGCUCAAUGGACCAAAGAGAUGAAUUCUGAGCAUGACUCUGUCUCUGACAGACAGACGACUGUCGGCCCACUUUCCCUGGUCCCUGAGGUCUCAAGGUCUAUGGCUUUUGGGCCAAAACUCAAAACUCCUCCAUCUGCAGCCCUUGAAGCCCCCGGCCAGGCCCCUGCAGUCCCAAGCUCCAAGAUGGCUGGAACCUGAGGGCUGCCGCCUACUUUCCUCCUGGCCUGAGCCCAGCCCAGCCCACCCCAGGUUCUCAGAGGGCUUGGAUCCACCUCUGCUUUGUAUACUACAGAGAAACAAACAAACAAGACUGUCUGAAAGGAGCUGGAAAGGAACUGCUACUUGAUGAUGGCAAAACACCAGCGCUGUGACGUUCAGCCCUGUGGGGCAGCCUGCAGGGGGUGGGGGACAAGGCCCAGAGAGUGUCCAUCUCAGCUGCUUCAAGCUGACCAGGACACUUGGGUGUAAGUAAGUAAGUCUUAAACAGGGCUGAUCCCAGUGUCGGGACCUGAGGCCCGGUUUAAGGGGCUUGGGUCUCACCUCUGUAUCUAGCAUCUAUCAUCUGAGUGAGUCUCCGUGUGCCCUUCAGGCUGAGGGCAGGGGCCCAGAAGCCCCCGCUCCAUCUCUCUGGCCCUCGGAAGGGCCUGCCCUCAGGACUGGACCUGCACAGCCUCCCUCAGACCCCACCUGGCCGAGCACCUCUGCCCGGGACCUGGGCCUCCACCUCCCCCCCCCCCCCCCCCGCCGAGGUUGCCUGUGGCACCCUCACAGGUGCUUAGCAGGCCAGGGGAUGAGGGUUCCCAUUAGAAGACCAGUCUGUGGAAGUCACCACCGCCGCCACCUGCAGGGCUGCAGCCCCCCGGAGGGCCUUCAUCCUCAUCUUUGUCUUCGUCAAAGCCCCUCCCCCAGUGCGGAGAUGUGGGGAGUGCGGAGAUGUAGGCCGCCCUGCUCCGUGCCUCCUUCUCCUGCUCCUGGAAAUACAGAUGGGGAUGGGGCCGGAAGCUGAGACGUCAAAGUCAGUCAGGCUCUGAAGCCUCAGUUCUCCCUGCACGCCCCCAAUGCCACCCAGCCCCUCCGCGCAUCGCCCCGGUCCCCAGGGCCAGGCACAGAGGAGCCACAGCUUCUGGCCUAGAGGCACUUCAGCUUAGUGGGAGGAUGGGCUUCCACAGCAUUCUUCCUCCUCCUCCCCCGAAUAAAAACUCCCAGCCCCCUGGAGGAAAGGAACUCAUUUCUACUAACUAGACUGUGAACAGCUGACAAGGGCCUGACGUGGCACCAGAAAGCAGGAGGUGCAGAGACUUCAAAGGGCACCUCAUAAACCCCCCCAGGGACCCUUCUGCAGGCUUCCUGACGUGGCUGUCCAGCUUCUGCCUCUCAAGGCACGAGGAACCCUCUGCCAACGAGGAAGCUCUUCCUCCUGCUGAACUGAGGCCAGCCAUGGAUUCGCCUUCCCACGGGCCCAGCCCUGCCUCCACCUGGACAGCUCAGCAGAAACGCAAAAGCAGAGCCAGGGUCCCCACAGCACGCAGGUGCUGCUGGCCAGGGGUCCUGACGUGACCACACCGGCUGUCUGUGGCGGCACUCCUCGUGCUGGUCCGCGCGCUGGCUGUUUCAGCGGCAAAGUAUUUUGACACCACCCUCGACUCUACAGAGUGGAGUCGAAGGCUCAGUGAGAGAAGAGGCUCACUGAGCCGGGCGGCCCCCCAUCCGCUCGUAUCCACUACUCACUCGCAGAGCCCCUCCUCCAGCACACUUAUGACACCUUAAUAAAAUAACUGAUAAUUC